rnacentral:rRNA from 1 species
AUUGAACGCUGGCGGCAGGCCUAACACAUGCAAGUCGAACGGUAACAGGAAGAAGCUUGCUUCUUUGCUGACGAGUGGCGGACGGGUGAGUAAUGUCUGGGAAACUGCCUGAUGGAGGGGGAUAACUACUGGAAACGGUAGUUAAUACCGCAUAACGUCGCAAGACCAAAGAGGGGGACCUUCGGGCCUCUUGCCAUCGGCUGUGCCCAGAUGGGAUUAGCUAGUAGGUGGGGUAACGGCUCACCUAGGCGACGAUCCCUAGCUGGUCUGAGAGGAUGACCAGCCACACUGGAACUGAGACACGGUCCAGACUCCUACGGGAGGCAGCAGUGGGGAAUAUUGCACAAUGGGCGCAAGCCUGAUGCAGCCAUGCCGCGUGUAUGAAGAAGGCCUUCGGGUUGUAAAGUACUUUCAGCGGGGAGGAAGGGAGUAAAGUUAAUACCUUUGCUCAUUGACGUUACCCGCAGAAGAAGCACCGGCUAACUCCGUG